AGCGAACGCUGGCGGCAGGCCUAACACAUGCAAGUCGAACGAACUCUUCGGAGUUAGUGGCGGACGGGUGAGUAACACGUGGGAACGUGCCUUUUGGUUCGGAAUAACUCAGGGAAACUUGUGCUAAUACCGAAUGCGCCCUUCGGGGGAAAGAUUUAUCGCCAUUAGAGCGGCCCGCGUCUGAUUAGCUAGUUGGUGAGGUAACGGCUCACCAAGGCGACGAUCAGUAGCUGGUCUGAGAGGAUGACCAGCCACACUGGGACUGAGACACGGCCCAGACUCCUACGGGAGGCAGCAGUGGGGAAUCUUGCGCAAUGGGCGAAAGCCUGACGCAGCCAUGCCGCGUGAAUGAUGAAGGUCCUAGGAUUGUAAAAUUCUUUCACCGGGGACGAUAAUGACGGUACCCGGAGAAGAAGCCCCGGCUAACUUCGUG
rnacentral:rRNA from 1 species